GAGUUUGAUCAUGGCUCAGGAUGAACGCUAGCGGCAGGCUUAAUACAUGCAAGUCGAGGGGCAGCAUGGUGUAGCAAUACACUGAUGGCGACCGGCAAACGGGUGCGGAACACGUACAGAACCUUCCUUCGAGCGGGGGAUAGCCCAGAGAAAUUUGGAUUAAUACCCCAUAGUAUGACGGAAUGGCAUCACUUUGUUCUUAAAGAUUUAUCACUUGAAGAUGGCUGUGCGGCUGAUUAGGUAGUUGGCGGGGUAACGGCCCACCAAGCCUACGAUCAGUAACUGGUGUGAGAGCACGACCAGUCACACGGGCACUGAGACACGGGCCCGACUCCUACGGGAGGCAGCAGUAAGGAAUAUUGGUCAAUGGAGGCAACUCUGAACCAGCCAUGCCGCGUGGAGGAUAAAAGGUCCUCUGGAUUGUAAACUUCUUUUAUCUGGGACGAAACACUCUCUUUCUAGAGGGCUUGACGGUACCAGAUGAAU
rnacentral:rRNA from 1 species